CUUGAUUUUUCUCUUUCCUGAUUUAUAUUACCCUUGAUUUAAAUUUCCUUUUUUUUUUUCUUUAUUUAUAUAUAUUUUGGGUCGAGUCAAUAUUAUCAGCUAAUUACAUAUUUCUACUAGGGUUAGGUUUUGACCAAUUAAUCCUGUUGGUAUUUUAGGUUUAGAAAUUUAUUGAAUUUCUUGUUUAGCUGCUGAAAGUGAUUAUUUGAUUGUUAAAUUCAAUUUUUGUGCAAUUAGAUAUGAGAUUGAUGUAUAGAUAUAGAAGUAUGCUAAAUAUUAAGAAUUGGAGGUGAUUAUGUGUGAUUUUAUCUAGUGAUUAGCUUGAAUUGACUUGGGGAUUUGUUUGAAAAAAUUCUUAAGACCCUUGAAUAUAGAUUGUUGGGGGUGUGGAUGAUAUGGGGGAAGAUUUGUUAGCGAGCUUGUCAAUGGAGAAUCAUCACCCAUCAACAUUGUUGUCAAUGGAUUCGAGUUCGAAAUCUCAUGAGGAAAAGGAAAGAGAGAUUAGUAGGCAUAUAAUAUUGUCUCGUCCUGGUCCACCUGAUAUUAAUCUGCCCUUAUCGGCGGAGCGUAGUCCUCCGCCUCCUCAGACUUGGAAUCAGGAGGCUUGUGAUAUGUUAGAGGUUGGAUUAGGGACUCAGGUUUAUGAACCGGAGACUCAUGUGGUGGUUCCUAAGAAUGGGAACGGGAAUGGGAAUGGGAAUGGGAAUGGAAAUCGAAAGUGUGCUAAGAGGCUUGAUAGUGUGUGGGGAGCUUGGUUCUUUUUUAGCUUCUACUUUAAGCCUUCGUUGAAUGAGAAAUCGAAGACCAAGAUUGUGAGGGAUGGUAAUGGGGUUUCGGGGUUUGAGAAGUCUGAUCUUCAGCUGGAGUCUUUCUUGGUACAACAUGAUAUGGAGAAUAUGUAUAUGUGGGUUUUUAAGGAGAGGCCAGAGAAUGCAUUGGGGAAGAUGCAAUUGAGAAGCUACAUGAAUGGGCAUUCGCGGCAAGGGGAAAGGCCGUUCCCUUUUAGUGUUGAAAAGGGUUUUGUUCGGUCUCACAAAAUGCAAAGGAAACAUUAUCGAGGACUCUCUAACCCUCAAUGCCUUCACGGGAUUGAAAUUGUUCGACAACCAAAUCUUAGUGCUGUUGAUGAGGAAGAGCAGAGGAGGUGGAUGGAACUCACUGGAAGGGACCUCAGCUUUUCUCUUCCAGAAGAAGCUAGUGAGUUUGCUUCGUGGAGGAACCUUCCAAGCACAGAAUUCGAACUAGAGAGACCACUUCCUGCCUUGAAGAGCACUGCCAAUGGUCACUCAAAGAAAUUGCUCAAUGGCUCUGGAUUGAACCUGUCCACUCAGCCAUCUAACCAUGUGAAUGACGUAUUUGAUCUCUCUGCUGCUGCAACUAAGAAGAGGAAGGAUGUCCCUGCUCAUGGAAAUGAUGAAGAUUCUUGUCUGCCAGCCAAUACACAUUCUUCUGAUGGAACGCAAGAUGCGGUAGAGGUGCAUCCAAUUGAACCCAUGUGGGCCCCUGAAUUCACUGGGGUUAUGAGAAAUGUUUAUGGCCCAGUCACCUGUGCAAAAUCUAUCUAUGAGGAUGAUGAUGGGUACAUGAUUGUCAUUAGUCUGCCAUUCACAGAUCUUCAGAAGGUGAAAGUUUCUUGGUGGAAUACAAUAUCUCAUGGCGUAGUCAAGGUCACAUCUGUGAGCACAGCGUGCAUGCCGUAUAUUCAGAGGAAUGACAGAACGUUUAAGCUUACAGAUCCUUCUCCUGAGCACUGCCCCCCUGGUGACUUUAAAAGGGAAAUUCCUCUUCCUUCCCGAAUUCCUGAUGAUGCCAAGUUGGAAGCUUAUUUUGAUAAUUCUGGAACAGUUCUCGAAAUUUCUGUGCCUAAGCCCCGUGUAGGUCCAGAAGAGCAUGAGGUUCCAAUUUGCCUUCGCUCUCAUCUUGGUGGGAAUGAUCUCUUGUUGUCAUGACUGAGGCUUAUCUGAACUAAAGUAAGGGCAGCUCACAUACUUGACGUUAUCAUUCUCUUGGUAGUUGCUAGGCUCCAUAUAUAUAGGAAUUAGAAAGUCCCACAUGUAGUACAUGAUGUUUUUGCCGUCUGACAAAAAUCAUAGGUCUGAUUUUGUUCUUUUGCAUUUGAAUAGCUUUGAGUUUUGGGUUUGCGCCCGUCCUUCAAAGUCAAGUUCAGAGAUUAAUGUACGCAUGCGAAUGAAUGUGGAAACUGUAUUACGAGACAUAGCUGAACAGUGCAACUUUUGGUUGAAGUGUUUUCUUGUAGAACCUGGAAAUUGUAUAGUUGUACCAUCUUUCUGAAUAAUGGAUCAAUACUGCAGAUUGUUCUUUUGUCUACUCUCCCAACUCUAUAAUACUCUUGCAGCUAAAUUCAGCAAUUUCUGCAGAUCAAUCGUAUAAUGCCUCACAAUGUUACCAUAUAUUGUGCAGCUAACUUAUUAAAUACUGUUGACCAGCAGAUCUUCAGCUGUCUUUGCUACUUUUGGGCGCCAUUCUACCAAGCAGCAAAAAGCUGGAUUGCCCAAUCUGUGCGACAAGCCGGACUGCAUGCCCCUAAUGUUAUGCAGAUUACAUGCAUUGAUUUGUACAUGUAUAGAAAUAGUUUACAUUCUGUAGAUAAAUUCUUUCGCCUCAGUGGCUUCUUUGUCAUGAUUCAUUAAUUUGUACGAUUAUAAUCAAAUAUUAAUGACAAGUCAUAGUUUCCGUUGAUUUUCUGGCAGCUGCCAUUCUAUCUGAUUGUUAGUACUGGCUAUGGAUUUA